rnacentral:rRNA from 1 species
GACGAACGCUGGCGGCGUGCUUAACACAUGCAAGUCGAACGGCAAGGCCCUGCUUUUGUGGGGUGCUCGAGUGGCGAACGGGUUAUUCCCACGUGAGUAACCUGCCCUUGACUUUGGGAUGACUUCAGGAAACUGGGGCUAAUACCGGAUAGGUGCUCCUGCUGCAUUGUGUGGGUUGGAAAGUUUCUGCGGUUGGGGAUGGACUCGCGGCUUAUCAGCUUUUUGGUGGGGUAGUGGCUUACCAAGGCUUUGACGGGUAGCCGGCCUGAGAGGGGGACCGGCGAAAUUGGGACUGAGAUAAGGCCCAGACUACUAUGGGAGGCAGCAGUGGGGAAGAGUGCACAAGGGGAGGAAGGCUGAUGCAGCAACGCCGCGUGCGGGAUGACGGCCUUGGGGUUGUAAACCGCUGUCGCCUGUGAUGAAGAGUGAGUGACGGUAAUGGGUAAAGAAGCACCGGCUAACUACGUG